rnacentral:rRNA from 1 species
GACGAACGCUGGCGGCGUGCUUAACACAUGCAAGUCGAACGGACAGGCCCUGCUUUUGUGGGGUGCUCGAGUGGCGAACGGGUGAGUAACACGUGAGUAACCUGCCCUUGACUUUGGGAUAACUUCAGGAAACUGGGGCUAAUAUCGGAUAGGAGCUCCUGCUGCAUGGUGGGGGUUGGUAAGUUUCGGCGGUUGUGGAUGGACUCGCGGCUUAUCAGCUUGUUUGUGGGGUAGUGGCUUACCAAGGCUUUGACGGGUAGCCGGCCUGAGAGGGGGACCGGCCACAUUGGUACUGAGAUACGGCCCAGACUGCUACGGUAGGCAGCAGUGGGGAAUAUUGCACAAUGGGCGGAAGCCUGAUGCAGCAACGCCGCGUGCGGGAUGACGGCCUACGGGUUGUAAACCGCUGUCGCCUGUGACGAAGCGUGAGUGACGGUAAUGGGUAAAGAAGCACCGGCUAACUACGUG